GCUAGCCGUAAAUUCAAGCAAACACUUACUAAUUUGCUCGCCAGAAAAUUACAAGCGAAAGCAUAAAAUUCAAAGGACUUGACGGUGUUCCAUAUCAACCUAGAGGAGCCUGUCCUAUAAUCGAUAAUCCACGCUAAACCUUACCCAUUCUUGCAAAACAGCCUAUAUACCGCCGUCGCCAGCCCAUCUAAUGAUAGAGUUAACAUGGGCAAAAGUGCCAAACCACCAAAACGUCAGGUCAAGGUGUAGCUAAUGAGUGGGUUGAGAUGGGCUACAUUUUUUAAAUUAAAAAACACAGCAAGUAACAUGAAACAUGAACUAUAAAGGCGGAUUUAGCAGUAAAUCUGAGUAAGACAUACCAUAUUGAAACUCGCUCUGGAACGCGUACAC
rnacentral:rRNA from 1 species